GACGUAGGGCGCGAGCGUUGUCCGGAUUUAUUGGGCGUAAAGAGCUCGUAGGCGGCUUGUCGCGUCGAAUGUGAAAACCCACGGCUCAACUGUGGGCUUGCAUUCGAUACGGGCAGGCUAGAGUUCGGUAGGGGAGACUGGAAUUCCUGGUGUAGCGGUGAAAUGCGCAGAUAUCAGGAGGAACACCGGUGGCGAAGGCGGCUUCCUGGACCGACACUGACGCUGAGGCGCGAAAGCUAGGGGAGCAAACGGG
rnacentral:rRNA from 1 species